rnacentral:rRNA from 1 species
AGAGAAUAGAUACCCUGGUAGUCCUGGCCCUAAACGAUGAAUGCUUGGUGUGGCGGGUAUCGAUCCCUGCCGUGCCGAAAGCUAACGCAUUAAGCAUUCCGCCUGGGGAGUACGGUCGCAAGGCUGAAGCUCAAAGGAAUUGACGGGGCCCGGCACAAGCGGUGGAGCAUGUGGUUUAAUUCGACGCAACGCGAAGAACCUUACCCACGGCUCGAACGGCAGCUGACAUCCUACGAAAGUAGGCUCCCGCAAGGGCAGCUGUCGAGGUGCUGCAUGGCUGUCGUCAGCUCGUGUCGUGAGAUGUUUGGGUUUAAGUCCCGCAACGAGCGCAACCCUUGUCUUCUGUUGCCAUCGGGUUUAUGCCGGGGCACUCUGAAGAGACUGCCGGUGACAAACCCGGAGGAAGGUGGGGAUGACGUCAAGUCAGCAUGGCCUUUAUGUCUGGGGCCACACACGUGCUACAAUGGCCGGCACAAACCGUCGCGAUCUCGCAAGAGGGGUAGCUAAUCGGAG